GAUGAACGCUAGCGGCAGGCCUAAUACAUGCAAGUCGAACGGGAUUAAGAGGCUUGCUUCUUAUGAGAGUGGCGCACGGGUGCGUAACACGUAUGCAACCUACCUUCAACUGGGGGAUAGCCCUCCGAAAGGGAGAUUAAUACCGCAUAAUAUAAUUGAGUGGCAUCACUUGAUUAUCAAACGUCAGGGUUGAAGAUGGGCAGGCGUCCGAUUAGUUUGUUGGUGAGGUAACGGCUCACCAAGACUACGAUCGGUAGGGGAUCUGAGAGGAUGGCCCCCCACACUGGUACUGAGACACGGACCAGACUCCUACGGGAGGCAGCAGUAAGGAAUAUUGGUCAAUGGACGGAAGUCUGAACCAGCCAUGCCGCGUGCAGGAAGACGGUCCUCUGGAUUGUAGACUGCUUUUGUUAGGGAAGAAACUUCCGUACGUGUACGGGACUGACGGUACCUAAAGAAUAAGGAUCGGCUAACUCCGUGCCAGCAGCCGCGGUAACAC
rnacentral:rRNA from 1 species